GACGAACGCUGGCGGCGUGCUUAACACAUGCAAGUCGAACGGAAAGGCCCUGCUUUUGUGGGGUGCUCGAGUGGCGAACGGGUGAGUAACACGUGAGUAACCUGCCCUUGACUUUGGGAUAACUUCAGGAAACUGGGGCUAAUACCGGAUAGGAGCUCCUGCUGCAUGGUGGGGGUUGGAAAGUUUCGGCGGUUGGGGAUGGACUCGCGGCUUAUCAGCUUGUUGGUGGGGUAGUGGCUUACCAAGGCUUUGACGGGUAGCCGGCCUGAGAGGGUGACCGGCCACAUUGGGACUGAGAUACGGCCCAGACUCCUACGGGAGGCAGCAGUGGGGCAUAUUGCACAAUGGGCGGAAGCCUGAUGCAGCAACGCCGCGUGCGGGAUGACGGCCUUCGGGUUGUAAACCGCUUUCGCCUGUGACGAAGCGUGAGUGACGGUAAGGGGUAAAGAAGAACCGGCUAACUACGUG
rnacentral:rRNA from 1 species